UGCACUUAAUACCCUUCGGGUACAGAUAGUUGGGCUGUAAGAUCCAUAAAUGUGCAUGCUAUCCCUCACGUGGUCACCACAGUGACAGUGUGCACUCUGAGUUCUGUUACCAGCCAAAAGCCAGUCCGUAUCUGCUCCAUGUGCCAAAUGGUUUGACCUACCCCCGGCAGAAGAUGGCAUCAGUACUGCAUAUUCCACAAAUCCCUGCUCUGUGAGCCUUGGUAAGGUUUUCCUAGCCAAUCUGGCCUGCACAGCAUUCAUCACUCCAUCUCCAUUAUCUUGCAGUUCAACUGUAUCCACAGCUUUAAAAAGGAUGCUGGUUUUACCUGAGCCCAUUGAUGAUGCCAAUACGGCAAAAGCUUCUAAAGCUGCUUGGCGUACCCUGCGUUUGCUAUCUACAAGAGCUGGGGCAAGAUCAAAGGACAGUUUGGGCAAGUCAAAAUCCUCACUAGGAUAGGUCAGCAGGGAGCAGAUGCAAAUGUUCACCACCUCCUCUCUCACUCUGGAAUGCUUAUGUUUGAGAUGUUCCAGGAGUAAACAAAGCACCUGCUGAGGUCCUACUUCCUUCAUUAGCUUGAGGAAGAUUUUCAUGUAUUCUUGUUUGAUCACCAACUUGUUGUCCGCCAGCACUUUGACAGAAGCUGCUAUAACUGGUCCCAAGAACUGCUGUACCUGCUCUCCAAGGCGAAUAACCAGUAAAUGCAGGACUUCAAGUGUGCCAUGCACCACUUUGAAGUUAGAAUCGUCUAACAAAUUAUAUAGCAAACUAAUGAAGCCAACAAGACUAGAAUGAGGAGUAGAACUAGGGUUAAAUUUUCCCAGCACCUGCUUUAGUUCUUCGACGGCCUGGGUCCGGUUCUUAUAGUCUUCCUGAUCCAAUAAUCGUGAAUGCAGCUCCUGAGGAAUAAUCCCAAAUUUAAGAUUGCUGUUGGAAAGAGUCACUGCACAGGGAAGGGGAUCUUCAGGAAAUCCAGAGGCUUCAAGUUCCAAAUAAUAAGGAACCUGACUUCCAAACUGGGACUCCAGGCGGCGAUUGUAGUGUCUCCUCAGGGCAGAGGGCAGACGAGAAAUGUAAGAUUGAAACCUGUCUUGGCCAAGUCGCUCCCCAAUUUGUUGAAGUGCGGAGAAAGCUGUCUCAGAUUCUUCUUCUGUCUCCUGAUCACCAAGCUUUCGGGCUAGGGAUAUUAUCACCUCGGUGAGAUCCAGACCAAGCAACAAGUCCUCAGUAGUAAGCAAGAUGGGAAGCAGUAGUGCUGUGGAAGCUCUAAGUCGGGCAUCGGUACUUUCCAGUCCUUGUUGUAUAAGCGUUCUCAGCACCUCUCCAGGACUACGUUUCAGACAUAUAUGAAGGAUCUGCAGCGCAUCUUUCCGCAGGGCUGGAUUCUCUUCCCGUAACGAGACAACUAGUUGAGGCAAAAGUGCUAAGCUAAAGGCCUCUUCAAGCUGGCCUGCCUCCCCCUGACCCCGGAGAACGUCCGAGAGAAGUUGCAAGCAGAGCCGCUUCUCAUCACUACCUCCUUCCACAAGCACUCGGCCCAGUGCCCGAUACAAAGCUUCCUUGCGUCGGGGGAAGCCAAGUCGACCGCCCCGCCGCGGCAAAGCAGCUUGCAAAGCCUGGAAGGCCUCAGAAGGAUCCCGGGCAGUGCGGAGGAGUUGAAGGAGCCGAGUGUCCUCUUCAUCUCCCCCUGACAAACCGCCUCCAGACUCAGACCAGCUGCUUGAGACUGCCUCCGAGGGCAUCAAGAGGGCCGAGGCCAGAGGCGAAGUUGUAGUGGGGCAGGAACCGUGGUCCCCCGCAGCUCCACGGAAGUAGUAGUUUUUCUCUCCUCUCAUAAUGCCCCCAACUCGACUAUCAUCGGUCUCUGGGGCGGAAGGACGACUGCGGCUCUGGAGCCGAUAGGUAGAGAGGCAAAAGAACAGCUUCAGCCUGCCGCCAGGCCGCCCCCAACUCCGGGAGGCAGCCUCUGGCAAAAUGGCCCCCGUCU
rnacentral:lncRNA from 1 species